rnacentral:rRNA from 1 species
CCGCCGGCGACCGGCGCACGGGUGAGUAACACGUAUGCAACCUGGCCGUGACAGAUGGAUAACCGGGAGAAAUCCCGCCUAAUACAACAUAAGUGCCGGGAGGGGACAUCCCCUGCCGGCCAAAGGGGCGACCCCGGUCACGGAUGGGCAUGCGGCGCAUUAGGUAGUUGGUGGGGCAACGGCCCACCAAGCCGACGAUGCGUAGGGGUUCUGAGAGGAAGGUCCCCCACAUUGGAACUGAGACACGGUCCAAACUCCUACGGAAGGCAGCAG